GACGAACGCUGGCGGCGUGCUUAACACAUGCAAGUCGAACGGAAAGGCCCUUCGGGGUACUCGAGUGGCGAACGGGUGAGUAACACGUGGGUGAUCUGCCCUGCACUUUGGGAUAAGCCUGGGAAACUGGGUCUAAUACCGAAUAGGACCACGCGCUUCAUGGUGUGUGGUGGAAAGCUUUUGCGGUGUGGGAUGGGCCCGCGGCCUAUCAGCUUGUUGGUGGGGUAAUGGCCUACCAAGGCGACGACGGGUAGCCGGCCUGAGAGGGUGACCGGCCACACUGGGACUGAGAUACGGCCCAGACUCCUACGGGAGGCAGCAGUGGGGAAUAUUGCACAAUGGGCGCAAGCCUGACGCAGCGACGCCGCGUGAGGGAUGACGGCCUUCGGGUUGCAAACCUCUUUCAAUAGGGACGAAGCGCAAGUGACGGUACCUAUAGAAGAAGCACCGGCCAACUACGUGCCAGCAGCCGCGGUAAUACGUAGGGUGCGAGCGUUGUCCGGAAUUACUGGGCGUAAAGAGCUCGUAGGUGGUUUGUCGCGUUGUUCGUGAAAACUCACAGCUUAACUGUGGGCGUGCGGGCGAUACGGGCAGACUAGAGUACUGCAGGGGAGACUGGAAUUCCUGGUGUAGCGGUGGAAUGCGCAGAUAUCAGGAGGAACACCGGUGGCGAAGGCGGGUCUCUGGGCGGUAACUGACGCUGAGGAGCGAAAGCGUGGGGAGCGAACAGGAUUAGAUACCCUGGUAGUCCACGCCGUAAACGGUGGGUACUAGGUGUGGGUUCCUUCCUUGGGAUCCGUGCCGUAGCUAACGCAUUAAGUACCCCGCCUGGGGAGUACGGCCGCAAGGCUAAAACUCAAAGGAAUUGACGGGGGCCCGCACAAGCGGCGGAGCAUGUGGAUUAAUUCGAUGCAACGCGAAGAACCUUACCUGGGUUUGACAUGCACAGGACGCCGGCAGAGAUGUCGGUUCCCUUGUGGCCUGUGUGCAGGUGGUGCAUGGCUGUCGUCAGCUCGUGUCGUGAGAUGUUGGGUUAAGUCCCGCAACGAGCGCAACCCUUGUCCUAUGUUGCCAGCGGGUUAUGCCGGGGACUCGUAGGAGACUGCCGGGGUCAACUCGGAGGAAGGUGGGGAUGACGUCAAGUCAUCAUGCCCCUUAUGUCCAGGGCUUCACACAUGCUACAAUGGCCGGUACAAAGGGCUGCGAUGCCGUGAGGUGGAGCGAAUCCUUUCAAAGCCGGUCUCAGUUCGGAUCGGGGUCUGCAACUCGACCCCGUGAAGUCGGAGUCGCUAGUAAUCGCAGAUCAGCAACGCUGCGGUGAAUACGUUCCCGGGCCU
rnacentral:rRNA from 1 species